UCGCUCCGCCGCUGAUGGCGGCCCGCGGGCUGCGGCCGCCUCGCCGCGCCCGGGCCGGGGCCGCGCUGCUGCCGCUGCUGCUGCUGUCGGUGCUGAGCCGCGGAGCCGCCCAGGAGCUGAGCCCCCGCGGCAGGAACGUCUGCAGGGCCGCCGGCUCCUCGGUUCUCGUGUGCUGCCUGGGAUGGAGGCAACAAGGGAGCGAGUGUAUAAUAGCUGUGUGCGAGGGGAACUUCACCUGCAAGGAGAACGAGGUAUGCGUCAGGCCCGGCGAGUGCCGCUGCCGCCACGGCUACUUUGGUGCCAACUGCGACACCAAGUGUCCCCGGCAGUUCUGGGGUCCCGACUGCAAGGAAAUGUGCACCUGCCAUCCCAACGGGCAGUGCGAGGAUGUGACGGGCCAGUGCACCUGCAACCUCAACCGCUGGGGCCCCAAGUGCGAGAACAUCUGCCUCUGCAAGCAUGGCAAGUGCGACCAGAAGACGGGCAAAUGCACCUGUGAGCCCAACUGGUGGGGCCCACAGUGCUCCAGCUCCUGCUACUGCAGCCACAACUCCCAGUGUGACCAGCAGACAGGCAACUGCCUGUGCCAGCCCGGCUGGUGGGGCCGUGGCUGCAACAACCAGUGCUCCUGCAACAACUCGCCCUGCGAGCAGUUCACGGGGCGCUGCCAGUGCCGGGAGAGGACCUUCGGGCCUCGCUGCGACCGCUACUGCCAGUGCUACAAGGGCAAGUGCAACCAGGUGGACGGGACCUGCACCUGCGAGCCGGGCUACCGGGGCAAGUACUGCCGCGAGCCGUGCCCGGCCGGCUUCUAUGGCCAGGGCUGCAGGAGGCGGUGUGGGCAGUGCAAGAGCCUGCAGCCGUGCACCGUGGCCGAUGGGCGCUGCCUGACAUGUGAGGCGGGCUGGAAUGGCACCAAGUGUGACCAGCCCUGCUCGCCCGGCUUCUACGGAGAGGGCUGCGAGAAGCUCUGUCCCCCCUGCAAGGAUGGCCACACCUGCAAUCACAUCAAUGGCAAAUGCUCCCACUGCAACCCGGGCUGGAUCGGAGACCGGUGUGAAACCAAGUGCCGGAACGGGACAUACGGGGAGAACUGCGCCUUCGUCUGCAGCGACUGCGUCAAUGGCCAGUGCCACUUCGAGACUGGGCAGUGCCUCUGCCACCCCGGCUCCCAUGGCACAUACUGUAACCUGACUUGCCCUCCUGGACACUACGGAGCCAACUGCGCCGAAGUCUGCGGCUGCCACGACGGCGCCUGCGACCCGCUGACGGGCGCCUGCCACAUGGAGGCCAACCAGAGGAUGGGGGUGAUCGGGGCAGGGGCCCUCCUGGCGCUGCUGCUCAUCCUCCUGCUCUCCCUGCUCUGCUGCUGCUGCGUCUGCCGCAAGAAGGACGAAGCAGGCGGCUCCAGCCAGGACCCAGCAGCAGCCAAGAAGCCUCCAAGACGUUUGUGUGGGCGCUUCAGCCGGAUUGGGAUGAAGCUCCCACGCAUCCCCCUGCGCCGCCAGAAGCUGCCCAAGGUCAUGGUGGCCCACCAUGACCUGGAAAACACCCUGAACUGCAGCUUCAUCGAGCCACCCUCUGUGGUGGAGCAGCCUUCCCCAUCCUGGUCAUCCCGCGGCUCCUUCUCCUCCUUUGACACCACAGACGAGGGGCCUGUGUACUGUGUCCCCCAUGAAGAGAGCAUGGGUGACAGCAGGGACAGAGGGACGCCUGCCAGCCCCGGGGACAAGCUGCUGGCCCCAGUCAGCGGGGAGGAAGCAGGAGAAUACACGUUCCUGAAGGAGACGGGCUCUGUCAGAGCCUUCCCGACCGACAGCAGUGAGACCCCCCUGCUCAAGUCCUCGGACAGCGAACGCUCCUCCUGCGGCUCGGGGUCGGCCAGCGCCGCGCUCUACGCCAGGGUUGCCCGCCUCUCCAAGCAGUCCAAGGAGGAGGAGGACGCCACUGUGGAGCCCCGUGGCUCUGGGAAGCCGCCAUCCCCGGAGAGGACCAAGCCCCGUCCUCCAGACCCGGCCACGAAGCCCAAAGUCUCCUGGAUCCACGGCAGGUACAACUCUGGCCAGUCCAACUCGCUGCCGGCACCCAGCCAGUCCCCAGAGCAAGUGGCCGCCCGGUCCGGCAGCCCCGAGCAAGGCCAGGGUUUGGCCAAGAGGAAGAGGAGUCCGAGCGAGACGUCGGCCCAUGUGCAGGGCAAAGCGGAGGAGAAGGGCGGCGCCCGGAGCAAGGAGAAACCGCAGAAGCAACCGAAGGAGCCCAGUGUCCCCGAGAGCAAAUCCAGCCUCUGCGGGGAGCCGCAGUCACCCUCCAAACCCAAGCAGAGGAGCAAAGCCGGCUCCGAGCCAAUGGAGACCAUCAACGGGGCGGUGCAGAACGCCUUCCGAAAAAUGGGUGCCUUCCAGCCAGAGCGGCGGGCCGGGGACACCAGGGAUGCUCCUUGUAGCCCCGGCACCAGCAAGCCCCGCUCCGAGCCGCUGCAUCCCCAGCUGGCCUCCGAGCUGGCCGCCCAACUGAAGGAAAAGACUCAGAGCCUCAACAAGGGGGACGGAGGCAUGCGGGCAAACGGGGUCGGUGCCCAGAGGGAGAAGCCCACCCCUCCACAGAAAGCCAAGCGCUCGGCGGCCGCCGGCGGCCAGAAGACCAGCAAGCCCUUGCUGCCCACCUCUCCCCACCUGCAAAAACUGAUCCCUGCGGCGGCCGAGACGGCAGCCGGGGAGCCCAAGUGGAUGGAGAAGCCAAGUGCCAGCAGUGGCCAGGAUCAGACUCUCCCCACUGAGCAGACAGCCAAGAAAACCCCCAUUAAGAAGCCUCCUAGGAAGAAGAGCCGGGAAGCGAGCCUGGAGCCACCCCGGGCAGCUGCUGUGCCUGCUCAGGCAGUGCAGUGACCAGGAACCGGGCACCGGCCCCGCACCGGCCGCUUGCCGGGAAGAAGGACAUUUGCCAGCACAACCAGCGAACGUGGGAGCCUGGACUGGGCUGGGGGCACUGGAAGAGCCUUGAUCCUCCCUUUAUGCCCGUCCACCUCACUCAUCCCCCUUUUUGCCUUAGUCCCCCCCUGCCUUAGGACCCGGUCCCUUCAUCUGUGCCCUACUCCUGCUCUCUGCCCGGGUCUCCGCUCCCCCGCCCCCCCCAGCGCGGGGCGGACCGCAAGGAGCCGGCCCGGCCGCCAGCCCGGGGGGCUCCCUGUGCGGCGUAUCCCCCCCCAACCCCCCCCCCCUUUUUUUGUAGCAGUAUUAUCGACCGCAUAAGCAGCGCUUGUUGUACUAGACGUGCCCACGGUAUAUUCUGCAGUAACCCAGCCGCUCGCUUCCCGCGCUCCACUCCGCUCUGUCGGGGUCGCUGAGCACGGGAGAGGGAGAGAGCUGCUGCUCAGUGCCCUGGGCAGUGCCAGAGAUGUGCUCCAUAUCCAUCGCUGGCAGCAGCUCCCCUGCCCCGGCGCCCUCCAGGCACAGCUCUCCACUGCCAGUGCAUGCCGGAGUGGGGUCGAGCUGGUUUCGACCGAUGCCACCCUCCCUCCCUCCGCAGCGGCGCUGCUCCUGGUCAGAAGGAAGCACUAUUUAUGGAUGGAGGUGGAUGCCCUUCGGGUUCCCUACAUCCCAUCCAAUGGAGUUGGAGGGAUUGGUUUGUGGGGGUUCAUGUCCCCGAAGAUCAUCAGACCAAAAGGUCAACCACAGCAAUCUCAGAGGUGAUGGAGGCAGCUGGCAAACACCAGAAUGGGAUGAGACCACAUGGAACCAGGACUGCAACCAGCCCAGUACAGCACUCAGGAGGGGAUGGGGCUCUGGCCCACACUGGGCAUGGUUCAGCAUGGUGUAGCUGGAGCCAGCAAGUACCUGACACUGUCUGGAGAAGCAUUAUCACAUUAUCAAAGCUGAAGAAUGACAUCACAGUGUUAUUUCACAGGCUCCUGGUCACCUUUCAGAGUUUCUUCACUCUCCCUCCCCUUUCCUUCAGGUUUUAUUGGGGAAGAUGAAGAACAGUGGCUGAAACUAGUCCUGGGACAUCACACAGUGCAAAAAAAAGGAGUGGAUGGAUGAGCUCAAUGUCGCCAGAUACAAAACAGAGAAAAUCAAUAGAAAAAUUGAGACACUGAAUCCAUGAGACCUGAGAUGGCAUCCAAGCCCCUCCUUCCACCACGGAGGCUGUCCUUGGAAAAACUGAAGAGGCUUCCAAGACACUCAGAUUGAUAACUACUCAUAGGCAGCCAAGCUUGGGCUGGUGCCUCAGGAAAGUUGGGCGCUAAGUUCUCCAUGGUCCUCAGGCUCUCCUGGCACAGCUGAGGAUCACCCAGGCAAAAGCCAGUCCAUGGGCUCUGAUCACAGUCCGAGCCAGCCAGAGGAGAGCCUGCAAGUGAGCAGCCUGCAUCCUGCAGGCUUUCUUCCCACCACUGCAUGUUGGAUAUCUCUGACUGACAGCUCCCCAUGAAAGACACCAGUGAGGAGGUCUUGUUCAGGAGGUCACAAAUCAGCAGAGGCUGAAAACCAUCAAACAAUUUUCCUGCAGCUGUGAGUUCCACCAGGAAAUGAUACAAUACUUGCUGUUCUGGGCUGCUUUUCAGGGCUGUUUUGCGCAGGCAGAAAACUUUGACCUCAAGGGGAAACCAGCUGAACCCAGUCAUAAUGUGGAGAAAUCAGGUGUUCUGCUUCCCCAGAGACAGAGCAGGAUCCACCUUCCCUGAUCGACAGGUAGGGCUUUUGGUGACAACGUGGUGGCCAUGGCUGAGGAGGAGUUGUGGGAGUGGCUGUGAUGGAGCCACCAGCCCUCCGUUCCACCAGCAUAUCAUCCAUGGGAUCAGAGGAGCACGGUGACACUUUUGGCUUAUCCUCUCCUCCACCAACACUGCAAGACUGAUCUUCCUCCCAUUUCCUCCUGAUUUCCCAAAGCAGAGAAGGAGCUGUUGGGUUGGACACCAGCACGUGUUUUUGGCUUGGCCAGCAAGCAGCAAUAAAAGCCAGCCUGCUGCCAACAAUUCAUUUCCUGUUUCAGGCCCUACCAAAAAUAAACUCAGAAGGGAAACUCCAAUGAGAACGAAACACACAGGAGACAGCCCAGAGCUCUCAAAACUAUAUAGGAAAUUUCUCUCUCAGUGUUCACUAGGAAGGGGGACGGUGGU